CAAUUAAAUUAUGACAAGUAAUGUGUGAAUUUCGGUUAACAAUACUUUUUAACUUCUAAAUGUUUUGAAAGAUAGUUUAUCAAAAUUUUAUGCCAAGAAGGACAUAAGGAAAUUGGUGAUGGACAUCUGUGAUUUUGGUUGAAGCGAACUUGGCGAAUUCAAAUGUCAACGUCUUCUCAUCUGGUUUGGCAACCUGUCAGGAAACGGAGCUACGGUCUGCGGAUGCUAACAACCUGUCACUCUUCAUUUUUCUGUGCGAUCAUUUCCGACUGGCAUAGAACUGAGUGAUUUCCAACGACAACUGCAGCGAUCAUAACACAUUUGAAAAGUUAUUAAAACAU